rnacentral:rRNA from 1 species
AGAGUUUGAUCCUGGCUCAGGACGAACGCUGGCGGCGUGCCUAAUGCAUGCAAGUCGAGCGGGCUACGAUCUUCGGAUUGUAGCUUAGCGGCGAACGGGUGAGUAACACGUAGGUAAUCUACCCUUCAGAGGAGGACAACCUCAGGAAACUGAGGCUAAACCUUCAUACGUUCACUGGUAGGGAUACUGGUGAAGAAAGAGUUACCUUAGUGGUAGCUGCUGAAGGAUGAGCCUGCGGCCCAUCAGGUAGUUGGUGAGGUAACGGCUCACCAAGCCGAAGACGGGUAACCGGUCUGAGAGGAUGUCCGGUCACACUGGGACUGAGACACGGCCCAGACUCCUACGGGAGGCAGCAGCAGGGAAUCUUGGGCAAUGGGCGAAAGCCUGACCCAGCGACGCCGCGUGGAGGAAGAAGUCCUUCGGGGCGUAAACUCCUGGACUGGGGGACGAGUAAGGACGGUACCCCAGUAGAAAGGGACGGCUAACUACGUGCCAGCAGCCGCGGUAAAACGUAGGUCCCGAGCGUUGUUCGGAUUCACUGGGUGUAAAGGGGGCGUAGGUGGUUGUCUGUGUCUCAUGUGAAAACUCAGGGCUCAACUCUGAGAUUGCGUGGGAAACUAGGCAGCUAGAGGACGGUAGAGGGGAGUGGAAUUCCCGGUGUAGCGGUAAAAUGCGUAGAUAUCGGGAGGAACACCGGUGGCGAAGGCGGCUCUCUGGGCCGAUCCUGACGCUGAGGCGCGAAAGCUAGG